GGCAAAUAUGCACCUUUUCAUGAAUGGGAGUUGAAUCAAACAAAGGAGAAAAAGUCCAGAGUGACGUGUAUGAUCAUGACAUCCUCCAGGAUACCGACCAAGCUGUAGUUCCUAAGGCCAUUGACAUACCAACAUGGUUACUGUUAUGUUUGCUUGAGUGGAUCUGUUUACUGUGAGGACGUGUCUCCCGAAAUGUCAGCUGUACCCUCAUUGCCAAAGGAAACGGCUUAUCUCUAUGCACGCUUCAACAAAAUCACCACAAUAACAAAUCAAGACUUUUCAGACACAAGUAAGUAAACUGUUUUUUUUUUUUUUCAAUCAAUCCUUGUCUGAAGUGAUUUUUGUCUCUUUCCAAAGCCUCUACUUUUUUCCAGUCUCACUGAAAACAAUUGACCUAAGUUGGAAUCUCAUCGCGGAGCUAGAGGACGGGGCUUUUUCCAGACUUGCAAAUUUCGAGGAGCUCAAUCUUUCACACAACAGGCUGACUAAACUGCCCACACGUCCUGUCAGGCUUACUUCUUCCAAUGCCAACUUCAAUAAGCUUACAACACAAGGUGUAAAGUCCACUGCUUUCAAGGUAGUAACCAUCUAAACCCACUUCUUGCAUUCAUAAGUAUAAAUAAGUAAAACAGCUGCAGGUUUGUCGGACUCUAUUGACCAAAAUACAUUAAAUAGGGCGUCUUUGUUGCAGAAACUCAUAAGACUGGCUUGUCUUUACCUUGGAAACAAUGAGCUGACAGAGUCUCUUCACACUGUACACCUAAAUGUGAGUUCUUGUAAAGUGGAGCUUCUUAUAGUUGCCAAAAUCAUUCCAUGGGUGUAUUUAGUCAAUUCGGUUGCCAAGGUAAACUCUGUCAUGGGGCCAGACUCUGAACAGAAUAAGUGGUGCAGAAAUUGGGACAGGUACCUGUUUAGGUAAAGUACCACAGAUGCAUUAUUUCCCUUGAGGAUGCUUGUGGAAAAGUACAGAGAAGGUCAGAAGCCGCUACAUUGUGUCUUUGUAGACCUAGAGAAAGCCUAUGACAGAGUACCAAGAGAGGAACUGUGGUACUGCAUGCGCAAGUCCGGUGUGGAGGAGAAAUAUGUUAGAAUAGUACAGGACAUGUAUGAGGGCAGCAGAACAGUGGUGAGACGUGCCGGACGUGUGUCAGAAGAAUUUAAGGUGGAGGUGGGACUGCAUCAGGGAUCCGCUCUGAGCCCCUUUCUGUUUGCGGCAGUAAUGGAUAGGCUGAUAGAUUAGGUUAGACUGGAAUCCUCUUGGACCAUGAUGUUCGCAGAUGAAUUAGAAAGAUGGAGGCACGCACUGGAAAGGAAAGGAAUGAAGAUCUGUUUGGGUGAAGGAAGCAUACUGGAAUAGAUUGUGACAGACUUUACACAUUUAAAGUCAAGUCAGCUGUGGAUUUGUGAUUAGUUUCUGUGUCUCCUCCAGGACAACAAGAUCAAAACAGUGACAGAUAAGACAUUCUGCCAAGGAAACACCAGUUACUAUAUUCGCGCUAACAUGCAUUAAGUGAGACUGGAUGGGAACCCUCUCCAGCUGUGGAAGCACCCUUACAGU